rnacentral:rRNA from 1 species
ACGACGUCGAGCUACUACGGUAGUGAAGUCAUUGAUGCCAUGCUUCCAGGAAAAGCCUCUAAGCUUCAGAUUGUAAGGAAUCGUACCCCAAACCGACACAGGUGGUCGGGUAGAGAAUACCAAGGCGCUUGAGAGAACUCGGGUGAAGGAACUAGGCAAAAUGGUACCGUAACUUCGGGAGAAGGUACGCUCUUGAUGGUGAAGUCCCUUGCGGAUGGAGCUGACGAGAGUCGCAGAUACCAGGUGGCUGCAACUGUUUAUUAAAAACACAGCACUGUGCAAAAUCGUAAGAUGACGUAUACGGUGUGACGCCUGCCCGGUGCCGGAAGGUUAAUUGAUGGGGUUAGCGUAAGCGAAGCUCUUGAUCGAAGCCCCGGUAAACGGCGGCCGUAACUAUAACGGUCCUAAGGUAGCGAAAUUCCUUGUCGGGUAAGUUCCGACCUGCACGAAUGGCGUAAUGAUGGCCACGCUGUCUCCACCCGAGACUCAGUGAAAUUGAAAUCGCUGUGAAGAUGCAGUGUACCCGCGGCUAGACGGAAAGACCCCGUGAACCUUUACUACAGCUUGGCACUGAACAUUGAACCUACAUGUGUAGGAUAGGUGGGAGGCUUUGAAGACGUGACGCCAGUUGCGUUGGAGCCGUCCUUGAAAUACCACCCUUGUAUGUUUGAUGUUCUAACGUUGGCCCCUAAUCGGGGUUGCGGACAGUGCCUGGUGGGUAGUUUGACUGGGGCGGUCUCCUCCCAAAGAGUAACGGAGGAGCACGAAGGUGGGCUAAUCACGGUUGGACAUCGUGAGGUUAGUGCAAUGGCAUAAGCCCGCUUAACUGCGAGAAUGACGGUUCGAGCAGGUGCGAAAGCAGGUCAUAGUGAUCCGGUGGUUCUGAAUGGAAGGGCCAUCGCUCAACGGAUAAAAGGUACUCCGGGGAUAACAGGCUGAUACCGCCCAAGAGUUCAUAUCGACGGCGGUGUUUGGCACCUCGAUGUCGGCUCAUCACAUCCUGGGGCUGAAGUCGGUCCCAAGGGUAUGGCUGUUCGCCAUUUAAAGUGGUACGCGAGCUGGGUUUAGAACGUCGUGAGACAGUUCGGUCCCUAUCUGCCGUGGGCGUUGGAAGAUUGAAGGGGGCUGCUCCUAGUACGAGAGGACCGGAGUGGACGAACCUCUGGUGUUCGGGUUGUGUCGCCAGACGCAUUGCCCGGUAGCUAAGUUCGGAAUCGAUAACCGCUGAAAGCAUCUAAGCGGGAAGCGAGCCCUGAGAUGAGUCUUCCCUGAUACUUUAAGUAUCCUGAAGGG